UACGGAGGGUGCAAGCGUUAUCCGGAUUCACUGGGUUUAAAGGGUGCGUAGGUGGGUUUGUAAGUCAGCGGUGAAAUCUCCGAGCUUAACUCGGAAACUGCCAUUGAUACUAUAGAUCUUGAAUUUUCUGGAGGUAAGCGGAAUAUGUCAUGUAGCGGUGAAAUGCUUAGAUAUGACUUAGAACACCAAUUGCGAAGGCAGCUUGCUACAGGAAUAUUGACACUGAGGCACGAAAGCGUGGGGAUCAAACAGG
rnacentral:rRNA from 1 species